rnacentral:misc_RNA from 1 species
GAAACGCGAUAGUUAAUGUGAAUUGCAGAAUUCAGUGAAUCAUCGAGUCUUUGAACGCACAUUGCGCCCAUCGGUAUUCCGUUGGGCAUGCCUGUUCGAGCGUCAUUACAAACCCUCAGCGCAAGCUGGUUGUUGGACCUGAGCUGCUUAUGCCGCUCCGGUCUUAAAGUAGUAUGUAACGCUGACCGCCUGACACCUGGCUGGAACAUAGUAAAAUCUCUUGCUUGUUCAGGUCUUGUGGGUGAGCUUCGGCCUGCAGAAUACCCAACAUUUUUUCAAGGUUUGACCUCGGAUCAGGCAAGGAUACCCGCUGAACUUAA